rnacentral:rRNA from 1 species
AACGAGCGCUGGCGGCAUGCCUAACACAUGCAAGUCGAACGAGACCUUCGGGUCUAGUGGCGCACGGGUGCGUAACGCGUGGGAACCUGCCCUUAGGUUCGGAAUAACUCCCCGAAAGGGGUGCUAAUACCGGAUAAUGUCUUCGGACCAAAGAUUUAUCGCCUUUGGAUGGGCCCGCGUUGGAUUAGCUAGUUGGUAGGGUAAAAGCCUACCAAGGCGACGAUCCAUAGCUGGUCUGAGAGGAUGAUCAGCCACACUGGGACUGAGACACGGCCCAGACCCCUACGGGAGGCAGCAGUGGGGAAUAUUGGACAAUGGGCGAAAGCCUGAUCCAGCAAUGCCGCGUGAGUGAUGAAGGCCUUAGGGUUGUAAAGCUCUUUUACCCGGGAUGAUAAUGACAGUACCGGGAGAAUAAGCUCCGGCUAACUCCGUG